AUUGAACGCUGGCGGCAUGCCUUACACAUGCAAGUCGAACGGCAGCGCGGGGCAACCUGGCGGCGAGUGGCGAACGGGUGAGUAAUAUAUCGGAACAUACCCUAGAGUGGGGGAUAACGUAGCGAAAGUUACGCUAAUACCGCAUACGCACUAAGGUGGAAAGCGGGGGAUUCGCAAGAACCUCAUGCUCAUGGAGUGGCCGAUAUCUGAUUAGCUAGUUGGUGAGGUAAAGGCUCACCAAGGCAACGAUCAGUAGCUGGUUUGAGAGAACGACCAGCCACACUGGAACUGAGACACGGUCCAGACUCCUACGGGAGGCAGCGGUGGGGAAUUUUGGACAAUGGGGGCAACCCUGAUCCAGCAAUGCCGCGUGAGUGAAGAAGGCC
rnacentral:rRNA from 1 species